rnacentral:lncRNA from 1 species
CCAAAUAACCAUUGCCCCCCCCCCCCUCCGUUCCUCCACCAUUCUUGCAUUAAUACACAUACACGGGCACAAAAAAAAAAAUCAAACACGACCGUGACACUUCUUGAAGAUCUAUGCCGCCGUCGUUCUUUCUCGUCACCAGCCUAGCCGGAGAAAUCUAAUACAUACACUGCUCUCCAUUCUCAACGUCUCGCCUUUCCCUUUGACUAUUAUGAUGGAGAUGUAUAGUAAUAGAGAUAGAAUAUUUCCUGAAAAUACUCCUUAACCAUCGAGCAUUCCAGUCCAAAGUCCAAGAAUCGAUUCGAGGUGGUCUUUUGAUUUUGGUCAAGGUUCAAUUGAGUCGGAGUUUUUGUUAUGGGUUCCGAUAUGUUGUCGUUUCGUGUUGGUUGAGGUUCGUCAAGGUUGUCGCUGCCUGCCGGGGUUUGGUCCUUGAUUGCUGGGUUUUGUAUUUAGUUAUUACUCAGCAGAGAAGAAGCACUUUCCGAGCUAGUUUUGUUGUUUGCUAGUGGACGCACAGAUCCCGACGCCGGAUUUACUUGUAAUAACUGCUUAAACUAGUUUAAUCAAGGAUUAAAUUCAGCUAUGAAAUCUGGUCUGGUCUAAUUUUGUUUCUUCUGCUGCGAUUUUGGGUAUUUCGAUUGAUGUUGGCGCUGUGAUGAAUGUCUGUUUGCUGCUGUUGCUUUUCGCCGGAUUCGUAGCUGAGCUCCAGCUUUAGUGUCCCGUCUUUACUUGGGCAUUUUUGUUUGUUUUCCGGCAGUUGAGCUAAUUUCUGUUUGAAUUCCAUGAGUACGUUCAGCUUAGGUUAAUUAAUGCCGAAAAGGAAAUCUCUCUCAUUGAGUUUUGGUUUUAACUGGAAGAGUAUGUUCAUCUUAGGUCUAAUUAACACCGAAAAGGUCAUCGCUCUCAUUGAGGUUCAACUCUUCCACCCUUACUCAUUUUAUCUUAGAUGAAUGUUGAUUAUUUUUUUGUUAUUUGAUUCGAUGAUAUGUUUGGCUAUUGUCUCCGAUUCUGAGUUUGUUCGUUUAGUUACCUACUCAUAUAUUACUCGAAUUGGGUUAUAGUUGAACAUGAUUUAAUCAAAAUAUAGAAAUUGGGUUGUUGGGUAAAAUUGAAACAAAAAUUUAGGUUCAAGAUAAUAAUGUUGUUCUUUUAUUCUUGUUUUAGCUAAUUUAAUCGCCAGGAGCAUGCUUAGGCCGAAAACACUUGGGUAGGCAAACCCUUAGGAUGUUCGUAUUUUAGUUUUGAGGCGAGAUGUCGUUUCCCAUAGUUAAAUUUAUCCGGGGAAUGCCCCGAAGAAUAUGUAUAUACUAUUAUCCGGGGUAUGGCCCGAAAUAUUUGUAAUUAGAGAGGGAAAGUAGAACUCUUAAUAUUUUUAUUUUUAACUUUUACUUUUUAUUUUUCUUUCAUUAGGUGGGGACGACCUUGAGCCUUUUGUGUGUUUAUUAUCUUUUCCUAUGUUUUCUACCUCAAUCGAAUAUUUUAAUAGCCAACAUGAUCGAGUACGCAACCGUGACUUUCACGAGACUUGGGGAGUGGCUAACACCUUCUCCGCGAGUCAAAUAAACCCCCUUACCCUUAUCUCUGGUGCAGAUUUAGUUUUUGGAGCCUGAAGUGU